rnacentral:tRNA from 1 species
ACUCUUCUAGUAUAUCAAUUACAAUUGACUUCCAAUCUUUAAAAUCUGGUUUAAGCCCAGAGAAGAGUA